rnacentral:lncRNA from 10 species
AGAAAAAGGAACUCCUGCAGGGGGCAUGGAAUGUAUGGGAGGGAGUCAGGAGAGUGAGUGAGUGAGGCCAUUCUUUGGAAGUCUGGCUUCUAAUGGGGAUGCCAGAGACAUAAUGAAUGCAGCAGCAGGCAGGCAAAGGAAUGGAGGUUCCCAGCUUGUUUAUUUGGGAGAUGGGAAUAAUUUGUAUGUGCUCAGCUGCUGAAAGCUUUCAUGAGAGGGGUUUCAACUGCAAAAAGAGAGGACGUUAUAGAUGGCUGAAGGUCCUGAGGGCAGGAGAUGUCUAGUGUUGAGGAAGAUCAAAAGUGGAGGAGGGAAUUCCAGGAAAGGUGUGGAAGCUGGUGUAUCACAGGCAGGAGCACACACCCAUAUCCUCCUCACUUUCCUCCGUUAUCUAUACAAUAGGAGCAAGCUCUUCCAGCUGGGGAUGGGUCAGGAUCUGGAGGAGUCAUCAAGUUCUCCAACUGUCAUAAAAUGGAGUUGAGAGUGGGACUUGGGGCUGGGGAAGAAGAUUGAGGCAGAGUCAGCCAGGUGGAGGUUAGACAUCUUGACUUCCCAGGAGCUAAGGAAACACAGAACUCCUUACAAUGUGCUGGUUUUCUUUCAGGAGCUCCGCAUUCAAAUCUUGGCUCCAACACCCUGGACAGUGGACAGGUCUCUUAAUCUUUCAGCGCUUCAGUUGCCUCAUCUCUUCAUCAAGAGAGUCACAAUUCUCAAAAGCAUAAGAGGCAAUCGACUGCAUCUAACGAGAUACAACCAGGAUAUGGACGUCUUCUCAGUAUUUCACUUCUUGUCGUCAAUCCAGUGGAAACUCCAAAAUACCACUGAAUGAACGAUUCUCAAGUCAACACUGAAGAACGCAUCAAGAUUUCCAUUAAAAAAAAACAGAAAACCCAGCAUGUACCCAGGCUUUUAUUCAUUUGUAUACCUAUAAGAAGCAGCUGCAACUUUACAUACAAGUGAUUUCUUUUUACAUAAAAUGUUUUUUGCCAUUUUUAGUCACUGAAGCAUUAAAAAAAAUAAAUACAGUGGAAGCAUUUGAAAGGGCUUGCUUUAAAAAAUAAUUUCGUUGGUUUACUGAAUGACUAGUUCUUGGUUUUUUGAAAAGUUUGUCGUACAUCCUGUUCCCAAUUCAAUUUGCUUUUACCCUCAUAGACCUCUGUGCUUUUAAUUGCUACUCUGAUUUUUGAGGCAAAGAUUUCUUUCUCCUGAAGAUGUUCUGCUGCCUGAGAUAAAUGAUAUUCGGGGAUUUUGAAAGUACUUUUAAG